rnacentral:rRNA from 1 species
GAUGAACGCUGGCGGCGUGCCUAAUACAUGCAAGUCGAGCGAAUGGAUUAAGAGCUUGCUCUUAUGAAGUUAGCGGCGAACGGGUGAGUAACACGUGGGUAACCUGCCCAUAAGACUGGGAUAACUCCGGGAAACCGGGGCUAAUACCGGAUAACAUUUUGAACCGCAUGGUUCGAAAUUGAAAGGCGGCUUCGGCUGUCACUUAUGGAUGGACCCGAGUCGCAUUAGCUAGUUGGUGAGGUAACGGCUCACCAAGGCAACGAUGCGUAGCCGACCUGAUAGGGUGAUCGGCCACACUGGGACUGAGACACGGCCCAGACUCCUACGGGAGGCAGCAGUAGGGAAUCUUCCGCAAUGGACGAAAGUCUGACGGAGCAACGCCGCGUGAGUGAGGAAGGCUUUCGGGUCGUAAAACUCUGUUGUUAGGGAAGAACAAGUGCUAGUUGAAUAAGCUGGCACCUUGACGGUACCUAACCAGAAAGCCACGGCUAACUACGUGCCAGCCGCCGCAGUAA